GAUGAACGCUGGCGGCGUGCUUAACACAUGCAAGUCGAACGGUGAAGCAGGAGCUUGCUCCUGUGGAUCAGUGGCGAACGGGUGUGUAACACGUGAGCAAUCUGCCCUGGACUCUGGGAUAAGCGUUGGAAACGACGUCUAAUACCGGAUACGAGGCGUGGGGGCAUCCCCAACGCCUGGAAAGAACUUCGGUCCAGGAUGAGCUCGCGGCCUAUCAGGGAGUUGGUGAGGUAACGGCUCACCAAGCCUACGACGGGUAGCCGGCCUGGGAGGGUGACCGGCCACACUGGGACUGAGACACGGCCCAGACUCCUACGGGAGGCAGCAGUGGGGAAUAUUGCACAAUGGGCGCAAGCCUGAUGCAGCAACGCCGCGUGAGGGACGACGGCCUUCGGGUUGUAAACCUCUUUUAGCAGGGAAGAAGCGAAAGUGACGGUACCUGCAGAAAAAGCACCGGCUAACUACGUGCCAGCCGCCGCAGUAAUAC
rnacentral:rRNA from 1 species